ensembl:lncRNA
UUUCUUUUAAAGAUUUAUUUAUUUAUUCCUCUAGUUAGUUAUUGAUUAACAUACACAGUGUUCUGCCUGUGUGCCAGAAAAGGGCACUAGACCAUGUAGUUGCUGGGAAUUGAACUCAGGUCCUCUGGAAGAACAAUCAGUGCUCUUAAUUUCUGAGCCAUGUCUCUAGCCAUGCUGGAGAAGUUCUUUAUGGCCAGAUACAAGACAGGAAGGAGGUGACCAGGGCGUCUGGACUAAGUUAGAGAGGAAAGAUGACAGCCUCUGGUGCUUUGAACAUGGACUUGCAGGCCAAGCCUCAUGGUUCCUGGCCCAUAGAUAGAAUCGUCCAGGUUUCCUGCCAAGCAGAGACUGGGGGUGAAAAGGGGUACAGAAAUAUUAGGGAGUCUCCUGUGGCAACACAUGAGGAAGGAAACAGGAUUAGGCAGAAGGGAAAGCUAUGCUAUGAGCAAGUUGUAAAGGAGAUCUCCACUGAUACUAUGAAAGUUGUUCUAUAACAAUGGCUCUCAAGCUGUGGGUGGCAACUCCUUGGGGUUGAAUAUUAAACACCCUGCAUCUCAGAUAUUUACAUUACAGUUCAUUACAGUAGCAAAAUUACAGCUAUGUAGUAGCAACAAAAAUAAUUUUACGGCUGGGGGUCUCCAAAGGGUCUCAAAGCCUUAGGAAGGCUGAGAACCACUGGUCUGAAGCCUGAUGGCCCUUCAGAAGUGACAAAACAGGCUUAGCUCCUCCAUGUCUGCAUCCCCCCAGGUUGGCGUCUAAGAAAAGUGAGCGUGCUUCUCCCUCAGUGAUCCUAACACAACCCUCGGGGCCUGCUCUGGCUGGGAUGAGAACAGCCACAAACCCAUCUAUAGCCAGAAAACCUGUCACCUCCUCUGCUGAGCUGUGUCUUGGAGAUGGCAACUCCACCUGAGGUGCCAAACUAAAACCUGGGAGUUUAUGGCUGGGAAGUCACAGGGUGCCAGCGUGAGUGGUUUUGGGUCCUGACUACACUCCAUUUUUAUCUGGGAAAAGGGAAAGUUUAACAUGCCCCCAGAGUUUGUCACAGCAGGUGUGUCCUGAGCUCAAACAAGCGUUUCAAAACACUUGGCACAGAGUAAAGAUAUUUGAAAAAUGUUUGCAAAAAAAGAUGAAAUAAACAUGUAUACAGAAAAAGUAAAAAAGCUUGGUCCUCAGACCAAGCCCGGGCUUAGUCCUGGAGAGGCUGGGGCUCUGGAAUGUUCUGUGCCUUGAACUGGGUGUUGGUUCUGUGGAUACGUUUACUUUGGGGAAACCAAUCAGGCUGUGCCUAUACAGUGAGGCCCUUGUCUACAUGUAUUUUUACAUUUCAGUGAGGGUUUCCUUAAAAAUCAGAGAAAGAAAAGAUGCAAUACAUCUCACAUGGUUUAGCUAAGUAAGGCAUGGUAGUAAAGCUACAUUCUUAACUCUUGUUGAAUUUUUUCUUCCCAUCCAUUGUCUCAGGCACAUUACAACCUUCCCACUGGGUGUUUAUUGCCCACAGAACCAUUCUGAGAAGGUUGGUUUUCAUAACAAUGCAAUGUCCCUACAACUUCCCCAGCACCAACUGAAAAUGGAGGUUUCUAUUUAAACCCCACCUUCAACCAACAAGUUAAGAUUCAGGGAUGGGUUUGUUGUUAUUGUUGUGGUUCAUUUUUUGUUUUUGUUUUUGUUUAUUUGUUUGUUUGUUUUUGGUUUCUCUGUGUAGUCCAGGCAGUCCUGGAAUUCACUCUGAAGACAAGGCUGGCCUCGAACUCACUGCCAUUGGAGUGCUGGGAUUAAAGGUCUCGAGGAGCCCAGGUCACGCAGAACUUGCUAUAUAGAUGAGGGCAGUCUUGAACCUCUCAUCUUCCUGUCUCUAACUCACAAGCACUGGGAUUACAAGCAUGGGCCACCAUGCCCAAUCUAUGUGGUGCUGGGAAUCGAACCCAGGACUCUGUGUAGUCUAGGCAAGCGUCUACCAAGUGAGCACAUUCCCACUCCCCUCCCCCCUUUCUUUUCCCUGCACUACUGGAAAGUUAUAGACACCAUGACUACUCAUUCAUAAAAAACGAGGAUUCCCAAAGAACCACCAUUCUCAUGAUGACAGUAAGACUCCCAAGACUGAGAGACGCCUUGCCCAGCCUAGACACAGGACUGUGGGGGUGGAGAGGUGCCUUGGUCCUGCCUCAACGAGAUGAUGGACAGACUUAGUAGACUUCCUAGGGGAGGCCUUACCCUCUCCCUCUCCGUGGAGCAGAUGGGAGGGAGGGGAACUGGGAUUGGAAUGUAAAAAUAAAUUAAUAAAGAAAAAAAAAGAUUCCCAAG